rnacentral:tRNA from 2 species
GUGGUUGUGGCUCAGUGGUAGAGAGCUUGCCUAGCACAUGUGAGGCACUGGGUUCGAUCCCCAGCACCACA